rnacentral:rRNA from 1 species
ACACAUGCAAGUCGAACGAAACACCUUAUUUGAUUUUCUUCGGAACUGAAGAUUUGGUGAGUGAGUGGCGGACGGGUGAGUAACGCGUGGGUAACCUGCCCUGUACAGGGGGAUAACAGUCAGAAAUGACUGCUAAUACCGCAUAAGACCACAGCACCGCAUGGUGCAGGGGUAAAAACUCCGGUGGUACAGGAUGGACCCGCGUCUGAUUAGCUGGUUGGUGAGGUAACGGCUCACCAAGGCGACGAUCAGUAGCCGGCUUGAGAGAGUGAACGGCCACAUUGGGACUGAGACACGGCCCAAACUCCUACGGGAGGCAGCAGUGGGGAAUAUUGCACAAUGGGGGAAACCCUGAUGCAGCGACGCCGCGUGAGUGAAGAAGUAUCUCGGUAUGUAAAGCUCUAUCAGCAGGGAAGAAAAUGACGGUACCUGACUAAGAAGCCCCGGCUAACUACGUGCCAGCAGCCGCGGUAAUACGUAGGGGGCAAGCGUUAUCCGGAAUUACUGGGUGUAAAGGGUGCGUAGGUGGUAUGGCAAGCCAGAAGUGAAAACCCGGGGCUUAACUCUGGGACUGCUUUUGAAACUGUCAGACUGGAGUGCAGGAGAGGUAAGCGGAAUUCCUAGUGUAGCGGUGAAAUGCGUAGAUAUUAGGAGGA